rnacentral:rRNA from 1 species
GAUGAACGCUGGCGGCGUGCCUAAUACAUGCAAGUCGAGCGAACGGACGAGACUCUUUCUUCUCUUCUGUUACCGACGGGCGGGUGAUUCACACGUGGCUAACCUACCUUUAAGACUGGCAUCACUUCGCGAACCCUGAUCUCACAUCCGUUAUUAUUUUGAACCUCAUGGUUCUACAGUCAACGCCGUUCUUGCUGUCCCUUAUACAUGUUUCCUCGCUGCAUUAGCUAGUUCGUACGGUAACGGCUUACCAAGGCAACUAUGCAUAGACGACCUGUGAGGGGGAACGGGCAAAAUGGAAAUGAGAAAAGGUCCAGAAUCCGAAGGGAGGGAGCAGGAGGGAAUAUUCGGCAAUGGGCGAAAGCCUGAUGGAGCAACGCCGCGUGAGUGAAGAAGGUCUUCGGAUCGUAAAACUCUGUUAGUAGGGAAGAACAGAAGUGUAAGUAAAUGUGCACAUCUUGACGGUACCUAAAGAGAAAGCAACGGCUAACUACGUG